CACAAGGAAGAGGGAGCACUGAGCUGCGUCAGUGAUGGCUGCUGAGUGUAUUUGAAGAGGAUUCACAGACUGGAGAUUCCAACCAAACAUCAUAUAAGAAUGUGACAGAAUUGGUGGAUUCAUCAGAUACCCAAUAUUAUAGCCCUUUGAGUAUUUCAGCUAAUAUUGCCAAUGCUCAGUGACCUGUGGAGAAGAUAAUGUUUGACCUUCCUGAACUGCUGCAGUCCAUGCGGUGAAGGUGCUCCCACAAUGCUGUUUGACAGCAACAAAAGCAGCAGAAUCCAACAUCGGUCUUCAACCUGUGAGCUUGCUGGCGUCUGAAAAGGUGGCCGAGUGAUUGAAUGCCUUUUGGCACUGAGAGCAGGUGACUGGUCUCUCCCCAGUCUGAACUCGUUGAUGUGUCAGAAGAUUGAAUGACUGAAUAAAGAACCUACCAUGCACAGAGCAGGUAUCGCUGUUCUGGCUCAGAAAUUACAAGUAUCUCUGGAAGUGGAGUUGAGACAAAAGAAAAACAGUGACAAUUCACAGCUGACCUUGAAGAGACCUCGUUGUCAGAACUACAUACAGUCACGGAUCAGGAAACGUCUGGAGGGCUAUGGGCAAAUGGCAGGGGAGCUGGGACAGAUUUGCAGCAUCACCUGAGGGAGCGAGUAUAGCCCCAACUGACCGAACACCCGCUCUGCUGUGUGAGACUGCAAAUGCACCAUGGACUGAGUAAUGAAGCUCAUCCGAGGGCAGAGAGAGAGAUGUUCCCGCCACUCACCUCUAACCACACAAUGGAGUCCGGCUGAUUGAUGGCAGCUCCACAACAAUAGGAGGAGAGUGGGUAUGGCUGGUGGACCAAGUGGCACGGACUGGUCCUCCUACCAAUCAGUGAAUGGGACAGACCAGCAGGAUGACAUGUGACCAUGAACCUGCCGGCACAGUUGGGAUGGAAAAAUGUCUUUCGUGGUGGGGUCGGAUUGUAGAUGGCGCAAGUGUCGGAGGAUGAUGCAUUGUAUCCGGAGGUUGGUGGGGUGGUAUGUGAGGACAAGGGGGAUUCUCUUUUCGCAGUUAUUGCAGGGGCGGGGUGUGAGGGAUGAGUUGUGGGAAAUGCGGGAGACUUGGUCGAGGGCGUUCUCGACCACUGAAGGGGGGAAGUUGCGGUCCUUGAAGAACGAGGACAUCCGGGAUGGACGAGAGUGGAGAUGCGGCGGAGGUGAAGGAAUUGGGAAUAGGGGGUGGAAUCUUUGCCGGAAGGUGGGUAGGAGCAGGUGUAUUCUAGGUACUGUGGGAGUUAGUGGGCAUGAAAUGGACAUCGGUUUCCACGUGGUUGCCUGAGAUAGAGACAGAGAGGGCCAGGAAGGUGAGGGAUGUGUUGGAGAUGGUCCAGGUGAACUUGAGGUUGGGGUGGAAGGUGUUGAUGAAGUGGAUGAACUGCUCGAGCUCCCCUUGGGAGCACGAAGCAGAGCUGAUAUAGUCAUCAAUGUAAUGGACGAAGAGGUGGGGUUUGGUGCCAGUGUAGGUGCAGAAGAGGGACUGUUCUAAGUGUCCUACAAAGAGGCAGGCAUAGUUGGGCCCAUGCGGGUACAUGUCUGCCUUCCGGAGAGAACACUCUCUCCGGGACUCCCUUGUCCGCUCCACACUCCCCUCCAACGCCACCACACCUGGCACUUCGCCCUGCAACUGCAGGAAGUGCUACACUUGCCCCCCACACCUCCUCCCUCACCCCCAUCCCAGGCACCAAGAUGACUUUCCACAUCAAGCAGAUGUUCACCUGCACAUCCGCUGAACCUAUUGUGGCUUCCUGUACAUUGGGGAAACCAAACAGAGGCUUGGGGAUCGCUUUGCAGAACACCUACGCUUGGUUCGCAGUAAACAAAUGCACCUCCCAGUCUCGAACCAUUUUAACUCCCCCUCCUAUUCCUUAGACAACAUGUCCAUCCUGGGCCUCCUGCAGUGCAAUUAUGAUGCCAUCUGAAGGUUGCAGGAACAGCAAUUCAUAUUCCGCUUGGGAACCCUGCAGCCCAAUGGUAUCAAUGUGGAUUUGACAACCUUCAAAAUCUCCCCCUCCCUCCCACUGCAUCCCAAAACCAGCCCAGUUCGUCCCUGCCUCCCUAACCAGCUCUUCCUCUCACCUAUCCACUCCUCCCUACCUCAAGCCGCACCUCCAUUUCCUACCCACUAACCUCAUCCUGCCCCCUUGACCUGUCCGUCCUCCCCGGACUGACCUAUCCCCUCCCUACCUCCCCACCUAUACUCUCCUCUCCACCUAUCUUCUCCUCUAUCCAUCUUCGGUCCGCCUCCCCCUUCCUCCCUAUUUAUUUCAGAACCCUCUCCUCAUCCCCCUCUCUGAUGGGUCUAGGCCCGGAACGUCAGCUUUUGUGCUCCUGAGAUGCUGCUUGGCCAGCUGUGCUCAUCCAGCUUCACACUUUGUUAUCUCAGAGUCUCCAGCAUCUGCAGAUCCUAUUAUCUCUGUUCACUGAGUGUAGUCGGAGAAGGGGCUUGUAUGGGAGCGACAGCGGAGACCAGGAGAAAAAUGGAGGUAAUGUGAACUUAUUUUUAAAAUAAGCAUCCGGUGUAGGCCGCUAGACCCGAAUUAGAAACUCUCAGGCUUGAACAAAGAAGGCCUUGCAGGCCUCAGGUGGUGAGCGGCCUGAACUACCACCGCCAUCUUUAUUAGGUACAAAGUGCAGCAGUGCGCAUGCACUUGUUUUCUCUGUGGGGAUGAGGCGACUUAAAGAGGAGGAUUUAUGCAGCAAACUGAAACCAAGAUAAAAUGUUUGUCUGUUCUAGAAUUCUAUCCAGGGAUGAUAGUGAUUAACUGUGUUGAACAGGAUAUUAAUGGGGAAUAAUUUGCAGACCAGGAUUUCAAAAUAGAGUCAGCAGAAUCAUCAGAAUGUGAGUAUCAUUGACAUUUAAUUGUGGAAGGAAAAGAGUUUGUUGGAUCUGCCUGGAAGGAAGAUAUCUCCGAUAUGUUUCUGUAAGACCAUAAGACAUAGGAGUGAAAGUAAGGCCGUUCGGCCCAUCAGGUCCACUCCGCCAUUUAAAUCAUGGCUGAUGGGCAUUUCAACUCCACUUCCCUGCACUCUCCCCGUAGCCCUUGAUUCCUUUUGAGAUCAAGAAUUUGUCGAUCACUGCCUUGAAGGCAUCCAACGUCCCGGCCUCCACUGCACUCCGUAGCAAUGAAUUCCACAGCCCACCACUCUCUGGCUAAAGAAGUGUCGUCUCAUUUCAGUUUUAAACUUACCCCCUCUAAUUUUAAGGCUGUGCCCACAGGUCCUAGGCUCCCCGCCUAACGGAAACAACUUGCUAGUGUCCACCCCUUCUAAACGAUACAUUAUCUUGUAAGUUUCUAUUAGAUCCACCCUCAACCUUCUAGACUCUAAUGAGUACAACCCCAGGAUCCUUAGCUGUUCACCAUACGUUAAACCUACCAUUCCAGGGAUCAUCCGUGUGAAUCUCCGCUGUACAUGCUCCAGGGCUACUAUGUCCUUCCUGAGGCGUGGGGCCCAAAAUUGGACACAGUAUUCUAAAUGGGGCCUAACUAGAGCUUUAUAAAGCUUCAGAAGCACAUCGCUGCUUUUAUAUUCCAACCCUCUUGAGAUAAACGACAACAUUACAUUCGCUUUCUUAAUUACGGACUCUACCUGCAAGUUAACCUUUAGAGAAUCCUGGACCAACGCUCCCAGAUCCCUUUGUACUUCUGCUUUGCGAAUUAUUCUCACCAUUUAGAAAAUAGUGCAUGCCUGUAUUCUUUUUUCCAAAGUGCAAAACUUCACAUUUACUCACAUUGAAUUUCAUCAGCCAUUUCCUGGACCACUCUCCUAAACUGUAAAUCUUUCUGCAGCUUCCCCACCUCUUCAGUACUACCUGCCUGUUCACCUAUCUUCGUAUCAUCGGCAAACUUCGCCAGAAUGCCCCCAGUCCCUUCAUCCAGAUCAUUAAUGUAUAAGGUGAACAGCUGCGGCCCCUGCAGGACACCACUCGUCACCGGUUGCCAUUCCGAAAAAGAGCCUUUUAUCCCAACUCUCUGCCUUCUGUCAAGUUCUAAGUUGAAAAGCAGCAAGAUAUUCAGUUUCGUAGUUAGACUCCACUUGUGGUUUGUGUUCACUUGUAGGCCCUGCAGCUGAGGAAGGACAUGUUGGGCUGAGAGGGUGGCACAGAUUUAUCCCAAUAACACCUUGUCUCUUUGAAAUGACUGUCAUAGUUUGUGACAGUUUCAUACUUAAUGAUUUUACCUCAUAAAUUCUUCAUUCACAAAUAUCUAUAAGAUUUGUUUUAAAGUCCCUUUCACAUUCCAGAUCUUGAUGACUCUAUUGAUCCUAAAACUGCCGAGCCCUCAUUGAGUCUGGAGGGCAUGAUGUGGAGCUGCUGAUGUUGGACUGGAGUGGACCAAGUCAGAAAUCACAUAAUACCAGGUUAUAGUCCAGCAGAUAGAAAUCGUGACAAGAGAGUACCAAAAUGUCAGCUUUCCUGCUCCUAAGAUGCGGCUUGGCCUGUUGUGUUCAUCCAACUCUACACGUUGUCAUCUCAGAUUCUCCAGCAUCUGCAGUUCCAACUAUCUCUGAAACAAUUUUAACCCCAGUGCGAAGCCUCUUCUAAGGAUGUCUUCCCUGCAGAAGUUACCCUCCUCCCUCCGGAAAAACCUCAGUGGAUCUCUCUCCCACUGCAACUCUCUCGUAAUCUCUUUGACCUUGAAACUGCUUGACCACGUCCUGAAGCAAACCAGGUACUACAGCCACAUCAUCUUUCUUAGUACCUGCCUACAGAACUAGAUCAUCCCGAAUGGACUACAAUCCACAUUCAAGCCUUCCCAAUUUAGCCCCAACUGUGACAAUAUCCACAUUCAGAACAUUGAGACUCUUC